UACGUAGGGUGCGAGCGUUAAUCGGAAUUACUGGGCGUAAAGCGUGCGCAGGCGGUUCUCCAAGUCCGUUGUGAAAGCCCCGGGCUCAACCUGGGAAUGGCAGUGGAAACUAGGGGACUGGAAUCUGGCAGAGGGGGGUGGAAUGCCGCGUGUAGCAGUGAAAUGCGUAGAGAUGCGGCGGAACACCGAUGGCGAAGGCAGCCCCCUGGGCUGAGAUUGACGCUCAGGCACGAAAGCGUGGGGAGCAAACAGG
rnacentral:rRNA from 1 species